UACGUAGGGGGCAAGCGUUGUCCGGAAUUACUGGGCGUAAAGAGCUCGUAGGCGGUUUGUCGCGUCUGCUGUGAAAACUCAGGGCUUAACCCUGAGCUUGCAGUGGGUACGGGCAGACUAGAGUGCGGUAGGGGAGACUGGAAUUCCUGGUGUAGCGGUGAAAUGCGCAGAUAUCAGGAGGAACACCGGUGGCGAAGGCGGGUCUCUGGGCCGUAACUGACGCUGAGGAGCGAAAGCAUGGGGAGCGAACAGG
rnacentral:rRNA from 1 species